UACGUAGGGGGCAAGCGUUGUUCGGAUUUACUGGGCGUAAAGGGCGCGUAGGCGGUGCGGUAAGUCACUUGUGAAGUCUCUGAGCUUAACUCAGAACGGCCAAGUGAUACUGCAGUGCUAGAGUGCGGAAGGGGCAAUCGGAAUUCUUGGUGUAGCGGUGAAAUGCGUAGAUAUCAAGAGGAACACCGGUGGCGAAGGCGGGUCUCUGGGCCGAUACUGACGCUGAGGAGCGAAAGCGUGGGGAGCGAACAGG
rnacentral:rRNA from 1 species